rnacentral:rRNA from 1 species
CCUACGGGAGGCAGCAGUGAGGAAUAUUGGUCAAUGGACGCAAGUCUGAACCAGCCAUGCCGCGUGCAGGAAGACGGCUCUAUGAGUUGUAAACUGCUUUUGUACGAGGGUAAACGCAGAUACGCGUAUCUGUCUGAAAGUAUCGUACGAAUAAGGAUCGGCUAACUCCGUGCCAGCAGCCGCGGUAAUACGGAGGAUUCGAGCGUUAUCCGGAUUUAUUGGGUUUAAAGGGUGCGUAGGCGGUCGGAUAAGUUAGAGGUGAACUCCCGAGGCUCAACUUCGGAAUUGCCGCUGAUACUGGCAGGCUAGAGAGUAGUUGCGGUAGGCGGAAUGUAUGGUGUAGCGGUGAAAUGCUUAGAGAUCAUAAAGAACACCGAUUGCGAAGGCAGCUUACCAAGCUACUUCUGACGUUGAGGCACGAAAGCGUGGGGAGCAAACAGGAUUAGAUACCCUUGUAGUC